GAUGAACGCUGGCGGCGUGCUUAACACAUGCAAGUCGAACGGAAAGGCUCCUGCUUGCAGGGGUACUCGAGUGGCGAACGGGUGAGUAACACGUGGGUGAUCUGCCCUGCACUUCGGGAUAAGCCUGGGAAACUGGGUCUAAUACCGGAUAGGACGAUGGUUUGGAUGCCAUUGUGGAAAGUUUUUCGGUGUGGGAUGAGCUCGCGGCCUAUCAGCUUGUUGGUGGGGUAAUGGCCUACCAAGGCGUCGACGGGUAGCCGGCCUGAGAGGGUGUACGGCCACAUUGGGACUGAGAUACGGCCCAGACUCCUACGGGAGGCAGCAGUGGGGAAUAUUGCACAAUGGGCGCAAGCCUGAUGCAGCGACGCCGCGUGGGGGAUGACGGCCUUCGGGUUGUAAACUCCUUUCGCUAGGGACGAAGCGUUUUGUGACGGUACCUGGAGAAGAAGCACCGGCUAACUACGUG
rnacentral:rRNA from 1 species